GUGAAACAUUGUGGGGUCCAAAGCACAAAUGGAGUGGUAUCUGCCCUUCUCGGUGACAGUAAGAAUUGUUUAAUUGUUUAUCCAUUAUAUGUGAAAAGAAGCCAGAGGAUACUAUGAGUACAGAUACUAGUGAGGAGUCAUUUUCACCAUGUUGGUACAAUUUCAUAUUCUAAUUUGAUUAUUUCUGUUUUCUUACUAAAAGGAAGCCAAUGAAGAAGGAAGCAAAUAUAGAGGAGGAAAGGGGAUAAAAGGAAGAAUAAUCUCAGAAAAGGAAGAUAGAGAUGCUGGAGAGAAGACACCUCUGUAUUUGUAGGCUCUCCCCACAUCUUGUGAGUCACUAAAGAAAAACCAGUUGUUCCAAUUGUUUUAACAAAACCAGGAACUGAGAUUCUAAAUUUACAUACUCUCAUACCAUUUUAUGUUUAUGAGAAAUACAAAUCUAGAAUGUGGAAGUUAAGAACUGCCUGUUUAAUAAAAUCAUCUUGAAACAGAAAGAAGGCAGGAAGGGAAAAAAGAAAGAAAGAAGGAGACAGAAAAAGAGAAAGAAAACAAGGAAAGAAACUAGGAAAAGAGGAAGGCAGGAACAAAAGAAGGAAUGGAAGGAGAGAGUGAGGAAGGGAGGGGGAGAGGAAAAGAAGGAAAGAAGAAAGAAAAGUGUUAAAAAAAAGACCAAAGGAAGAAGAGAGAUGAUCUAAAAAGAAGAAAACAUUACUCUAGAGCUUCUCAAACUGGCAUCUUAUGGACCCCUAAGAAUUUGUGCAUUUUAUAUAGGGAUCCAUAAAUUUCCUAAAAUUGUAUCCAAAUUGUUCCAUUUAAUUAAUCUAUCUAUCUAAAUAUCUAUUGCUAUGGUUUGAAUGUAUCCCCCAACAGUUCAUGUGUUGGAAACUUAAUCACUAUUGUAACAAUAUUAACAGGUGGGUCUUUUAAGAGAUGAUAGGGUCACCAGGGUGGAGCUCUUGUGAAUGGAUUAAUAUCAUCAUCUAGGGUGUGAGUUCUCUUGGGAGUGAAUCAGUUUUCACGGGACUGAGUGAGUUUUCUUGAGAGUGGGUUGUAGUAAAAGCAAGCUGGCUGCCUCUGUGAUUUCCUUUGCUUGUGCUCAGCAGUUCUUCUGCUCUUCUGUCAUAAGAAAACAUAAAGAAGACCCUCACUAGAUACCUGAGUCAUGUUCUUGAACUCCCCAGCCUCCAGAACUGUAAUAAAUAAAUUUUUCUUUAUAAACUACCCAGUCUAUGAUAUUUUGUUAUAGCAACAGAAAAUAAACAAAGGCAUCUAUCAUUGUAUUACUAGAUAUAAUAUACAUAAAUUUUAUACAAACCGUAC
rnacentral:lncRNA from 10 species